rnacentral:rRNA from 1 species
UGGGGAAUAUUGCACAAUGGGCGAAAGCCUGAUGCAGCAACGCCGCGUGAAGGAAGAAGGUCUUCGGAUUGUAAACUUCUAUCAGUAGGGAAGAAAAGAAACCAUAGGUUUCUCUGACGGUACCUAACUAAGAAGCUCCGGCUAACUACGUGCCAGCAGCCGCGGUAAUACGUGGGGAGCAAGCGUUAUCCGGAUUUACUGGGUGUAAAGGGUGCGUAGGCGGCCACCUAAGUCUAAAGUGAAAUUUCGGGGCUCAACCCCGGAGCUGCUUUGGAAACUGGGAGGCUAGAGUAUAGGAGAGGAAAGCGGAACUCCACGUGUAGCGGUGAAAUGCGUAGAGAUGUGGAGGAACACCAGUAGCGAAGGCGGCUUUCUGGACUAUUACUGACGCUGAGGCACGAAAGCGUGGGGAGCAAACAGGAUUAGAUACCCUGGU